CAACUCGCCUACAUGAAGUUGGAAUCGCUAGUAAUCGCGAAUCAGAAUGUCGCGGUGAAUACGUUCCCGGGUCUUGUACACACCGCCCGUCACACCACGAGAGUUUACAACACCCGAAGUCAGUGGCCUAACCGCAAGGAGGGGAGCUGCCUAAGGUGGGGUAGAUGAUUGGGGUGAAGUCGUAACAAGGUAAC
rnacentral:rRNA from 1 species